rnacentral:ribozyme from 1 species
UGCCCAACAACUCCUAUCCCUACCUCCACGCGGUACCGGCCGGAAACUAUGAGCAACCUUAGGGAAGAUCGGGUAACCAACCCAGGUGGGAACUUUGGUCGUAGGCUGACAGGGAAGG